rnacentral:misc_RNA from 1 species
UUUCCGUAGGUGAACCUGCGGAAGGAUCAUUAAAAAAUUGGACUCCAUUGGUGAGUUCAUUAAUAAUCCUACCCUUUGUGAAUUUGUUUGUUUGAAUAAUUUUUUUUCCAAAAAAAAUUAUUGAAUGUCUUUCCUUGUUUUGGUGGAGCUUGUAAAGUGAAACCAGGCAGGGGAAUGGCAAACAAUAAUUAUUUUUGAAAAAGACCUUUUUUUAAAAUUAACUUUUUGUAUUCAUUUGUCUAAAAUUAAUUUUUAUAAUAUAAAAACAACUUUUGACAAUGGAUCUCUUGGUUCUCGCAACGAUGAAGAACGCAGCAAAAUGCGAUAAGUAGUGUGAAUUGCAGAAUACGUGAAUCAUCGAAUCUUCGAACGCAUAUUGCACUUUUUUAGUUUACUAAAAAAGUAUGUCUGUUUGAGUAUCAGUAAAAUAUUCUCAUAAAAAAUUGUUUUUUUAUGGUUAUGAGUGUUUUACAACGAUAACAAGUUGUUUCACUUUAAAUUCUUUGUUAUCAAAAAAAUCAUUAAAAGCUAAUUUUAAAGAUUUUUUAAAAUUGGAUAAAGUUUUCCCGUAAAAAGGAAUAACCUAAACAAUUUUAAAAAAUUAAAAUUGGUUUGAUUUUUUUUGAUAACAAAGGAAAAAAAAGAAAAUUAACUUGAUCUCAAAUCAGAUAAGAGUACCCGCUGAACUUAAGCAUAUCAAUAAGCGGAGGAAAAGAAACUAACUAGGAUUCCCUCAGUAACGGCGAGUGAAGCGGGAAGAGCUCAAAUUUGAAAUCUUCAAGGUUUUACCUUGACGAAUUGUAGUUUAAAGAGGUGUUUUCUGUUGGAGUUUUGGUAAAAGUUCUUUGGAAAAGGACAUCAUAGAGGGUGAGAAUCCCGUAUUUGACCAUUAUCUCCAGCUUUGUGAUACACUUUCAAAGAGUCGGAUUGCUUGGGAAUGCAGUCCAAAAUGGGUGGUAAAUUUCAUCUAAAGCUAAAUACUGGCGAGAGACCGAUAGCGAACAAGUACCGUGAGGGAAAGAUGAAAAGAACUUUGAAAAGAGAGUUAAACAGUACGUGAAAUUGUCAAAAGGGAAGCGUUUGACACCAGUGUUGUUUUCUCGAAAAUCAAUUAAAAAAGGCCGGAUUUUGUGUUGUAUUGACUUUAUCAGCUUUCUGCACUCUUUUCUUGUCUUUUUUAAUGCACUUUUCGUUUAACAAGUCAACAUCAAUUUCUUUUGUUGUAAAAGGGUCAUUGGAAGGUGGCUUUCUUUUCGGAGAAAGUGUUUAUAGCCUUUGGCCUCUGCAAUCGGAGAGAUUGAGGUCUGCAGCGUAGAUCCUUCGGGGUUAGAUACAUUUGUGCUAAGUUAUAGCCUUUCAUAGACAACUUGUUGACUAUGAUCAGUCAUGUAGCUUACUCGCUUAUGCUAUUU